CUCGGUGGCCCCGCGCGCGGGCAGCGCCGCCCUUUGCCCCGCGCGCCCCGCCCUCCUCCCGGGGGCCAGGCCGCCAGGGGCUCCGCAGGGUCUCGUUGCCGCGUCGCCCGCACGAUCGUGCUUGUUCUGUUCUAGGCGAACUGUAACGGAGCAAAUAGGGGCUGGUUGUGCUCGCUGCAAUCAGGGCGUCACGUUCCUGGGGAACUCAGGGGACAAAGUUGUCGUCUUAUCACAGCUGGGAGAUAUAGGUUGACAAUAUGUAUACAAUGGAAUAUUAUUCAGCCAUAAAAAAAGACAUCCUGCCAUUUGCAAAUGAGCCUGGAGGACACUAUACUAAGUGAUGAAGAUUAGCCCUGAGCUAACAUCUGCUGCCAAUCCUCCUCUUUUUGCUGAGGAAGACUGGCCCUGAGCUGACAUCUGUGCCCAUCUUCCUCUACUUUAUAUGUGGGACGCCUACCACAGCAUGGCAUGCCAAGUGGUGCCAUGUCCACACCAGGGAUCCAAACCAGUGAACCCCAGGCUACCGAAGCAGAAAGUGCG
rnacentral:lncRNA from 1 species